rnacentral:rRNA from 1 species
GACGAACGCUGGCGGCGUGCUUAACACAUGCAAGUCGAACGGAAAGGCCCUGCUUUUGUGGGGUGCUCGAUUGGCGAACGGGUGAGUAACACGUGAGUAACCUGCCCUUGACUUUGGGAUAACUUCAGGAAACUGGGGCUAAUACCGGAUAGGAGCUCCUGCUGCAUGGUGGGGGUUGGAAAGUUUCGGCGGUUGGGGCUGGACUCGCGGCUUAUCAGCUUGUUGGUGGGGUAGUGGCUUACCAAGGCUUUGACGGGUAGCCGGCCUGAGAGGGUGACCGGCCACAUUGGGACUGAGAGACGGACCAGACUCCUACGGGAGGCAGCAGUGGGGAAUAUUGCACAAUGGGCGGAAGCCUGAUGCAGCAACGCCGCGUGCGGGAUGACGGCCUUCGGGUUGUAAACCGCUUUCGCCUGUGACGAAGCGUGAGUGACGGUAAUGGGUAAAGAAGCACCGGCUAACUACGUG